CCUACGGGAGGCAGCAGUGGGGAAUAUUGCACAAUGGGGGAAACCCUGAUGCAGCGACGCCGCGUGAGUGAAGAAGUAUUUCGGUAUGUAAAGCUCUAUCAGCAGGGAAGAAAAUGACGGUACCUGAGUAAGAAGCCCCGGCUAACUACGUGCCAGCAGCCGCGGUAAUACGUAGGGGGCAAGCGUUAUCCGGAUUUACUGGGGGUAAAGGGAGCGUAGACGGUGAUGCAAGUCAGAAGUGAAAGACCGGGGCUCAACUCCGGGACUGCUUUUGAAACUGGGUGACUGGAGUGCAGGAGAGGGAGGCGGAAUUCCUGGUGUAGCGGUGAAAUGCGUAGAUAUCAGGAGGAACACCAGUGGCGAAGGCGGCCUACUGGACUGUAACUGACGUUGAGGCUCGAAAGCGUGGGGAGCAAACAGGAUUAGAUACCCCAGUAGUC
rnacentral:rRNA from 1 species